UUUAAUAGGCAAACCUAGGGAAAUCUAGGGACGCAAAGCUAUAGGGGUUAAGGUUUAUUUAAACUAUGCCAGCCAGUUGCCAA
rnacentral:ncRNA from 1 species